rnacentral:rRNA from 1 species
UGAGUACGAGAUGCUACGGCGUCGAAGCAGUGUAUGUCAGACUUCCAAGAAAAGCUUGCAAUGUCAUAAAUAAAUAAUGCCUGUACCAUAACCGACACAGGUGGGUAGGUAGAGUAUACUAAGGGGCGCGAGAUAACUCUCUCUAAGGAACUCGGCAAAAUAACUCCGUAACUUCGGGAGAAGGAGUGCCUUAUUUUAUAAGGUUGCAAUAACAAGAUCCAAGCAACUGUUUACCAAAAACACAGGUCUCCGCUAAGUCGUAAGACGAUGUAUGGGGGCUGACGCCUGCCCAGUGCCAGAAGGUUAAAGAAGUCGGUUAGCCUUGCGAAGCUGAUAACUGAAGCCCUGGUGAACGGCGGCCGUAACGAUAACGGUCCUAAGGUAGCGAAAUUCCUUGUCGGGUAAGUUCCGACCCGCACGAAAGGCGUAAUGAUUUGGAUACUGUCUCGGAGAGGGACUCGGUGAAAUAGACUUGUCUGUGAAGAUGCGGACUACCUGCACCAGGACAGAAAGACCCUAUGAAGCUUUACUGUAACUUGAAAUUGAAAUUGGACUUUAUUUGCGCAGUAUAGGUGGGAGGCGUUGAAAAUAAUCUUGCGGGAUUCUUGGAGCCAUCAGUGAGAUACCACUCCUAUAAUGUUAGAUUUCUAACUUUGUAUCAUAAUCUGGUCAAAGAACAGUUUCAGGCGGGCAGUUUGACUGGGGCGGUCGCCUCCCAAAUGGUAACGGAGGCGUACAAAGGUUUCCUCUGAACGGGUAGAAAUCGUAUCUAGAGUGUAAAGGCAUAAGGAAGCUUGACUGUGAGACCUACAAGUCGAGCAGGGACGAAAGUCGGUCUUAGUGAUCUGACGGUGCUGAGUGGAAAGGCCGUCACUCAACGGAUAAAAGUUACUCUAGGAUAACAGGCUGAUCUCCCCCAAGAGUUCACAUCGACGGGGAGGUUUGGCACCUCGAUGUCGGCUCAUCGCAUCCUGGGGCGGUAGUACGUCCCAAGGGUUGGGCUGUUCGCCCAUGAAAGCGGUACGCGAGCUGGGUUCAGAACGUCGUGAGACAGUUCGGUCCAUAUCCGGUGUAGGCGUUAGAAUAUUGAGAGGAGCCUUCUUUAGUACGAGAGGACCGAGAAGGACAUACCUCUGGUGUACCAGUUAUCGUGCCAACGGUAAACGCUGGGUAGCUAUGUAUGGAGAGGAUAACCGCUGAAAGCAUCUAAGUGGGAAGCCCACCUCAAGAUGAGUAUUCGC